AGGGAAUUGGAAGAUCUUCAGGCAGUGCAGCGGGUUUCACACGGAAAGUGAAAAGGGUAUGUGCACGCCUGGCUCAUCCACUCUCAACCUUUGUGCACCUUUUGUAGGAGUCACAGAUACUGAUGAAAAUCAGUUGAUGCUGCUUCUAUGUUUUUAUCACACACGCUUCAGUUAUAGAAUGUAUCUCUGCGGAUAACGCAACUAUAUACAACUUUCAGCAACGGAUCUCUUGGCUCUCGCAUCGAUGAAGAACGCAGCGAAAUGCGAUAAGUAAUGUGAAUUGCAGAAUUCAGUGAAUCAUCGAAUCUUUGAACGCACCUUGCGCUCCUUGGUAUUCCUCGGAGCAUGCCUGUUUGAGUAUCAUGGAAUUCUCAACUCCCAAGUUUCUUAUGAAGCCUGGUGAGCUUGGACUUGGAGGUUGUGCUGGCUGAACAAGUCAGCUCCUCUGAAAUGCAUUAGUGUGAAAUCUACGGAUCACUUUCAGUGUGAUAAUUAUCUGCGCUGUCUGUGUGAAGUAUUCAUAUGUUCAUGCUUAUAAUUGUCUUGUUACAAAGACACUUUGACUUCUGAUCUCAAAUCAGGUAGGACUACCCGCUGAACUUAAGCAUAUCAAAAAGCGGGAAGGAAAUAAUA
rnacentral:rRNA from 1 species